rnacentral:rRNA from 1 species
UACAGAGGUCUCAAGCGUUGUUCGGAUUCAUUGGGCGUAAAGGGUGCGUAGGUGGCGCUGUAAGUCGGGUGUGAAAUUUCGGAGCUUAACUCCGAAACUGCAUUCGGUACUGCGGUGCUUGAGGACUGGAGAGGAGACUGGAAUUCAUGGUGUAGCAGUGAAAUGCGUAGAGAUCAUGAGGAAGACCAGUGGCGAAGGCGGGUCUCUGGACAGUUCCUGACACUGAGGCACGAAGGCCAGGGGAGCAAACGGG